GCCAAUCCUUUCCGCUGCCGAGCUGUACGUGUAUAUAUUGCUUCCUCCUCUGGUACACUUCGCUCACUCUCUCUAUUGCGGCAGCACACCAUCUUACAACAAAAAGCUUGGGGUGAUGUUCAUGCUAGCGGUGCUCGAUUGAUUUCAUUUUGGAGAUUGGUAUUGGAAUUUUUUUUUGGUGUUGGUAAUCUCAAAUGGCUUCUGGACAAGUAACAUCGAUGUAUUUACGCUGCAUGAUUGCUUACAUGAAAUCUUCCUGUGUUAUGUUGA